UUCCCUUUAUGGUAAGGAGUUGACACAGUAGAUUCAGUGUUGAUUUCAUUCAUCUAAUCUUCUGUAGAUAAACGAUAUCUGCUGGUCAUCACAAUUCCUAUGUGUUACUUGCUGCAGGUGAUUUGAAACGGAUAUGUGAGACAGAUCUUGGCCUUGUUUCUCAGUGUUGUUUAACAAAGCAUGUAUUCAGAAUGAGUAAGCAGUAUUUGGCCAAUGUGGCUUUGAAGAUAAAUGUGAAGGUUGGAGGAAGAAAUACUGUACUUGUUGAUGCAAUAUCAAGGCGCAUUCCUUUAGUCAGCGACCGGCCCACUAUUAUUUUUGGUGCUGAUGUUACCCAUCCUCAUCCUGGGGAAGACUCAAGCCCAUCUAUUGCAGCUGUAUUCUAUCUUUCUCCACUCUUCUGAAUGCCUCUUAUCUUGUAUUCACUGAAUUUGAUCUUGCCUUUUGCAAUUUGAACUGACAAAAGGUUUUUGAAAUUGAAAUGCAGGUUGUGGCUUCUCAGGAUUGGCCUGAGAUUACAAAGUAUGCUGGUUUGGUUUGUGCUCAAGCCCAUCGACAAGAGCUUAUCCAAGAUCUGUUCAAAGAAUGGCAGGAUCCUGUAAGAGGGAAAGCCACUGGUGGAAUGAUCAAGUAUGUUUGGCUAUCUCUCUGUCAUAUUUGUCAUAGGAUCAAGUGCCUCUAUUGGUCUCAAGUGCUCUAGGGCCUGUGCAUAUGCUGCUUCCUAGGGUCUUGAGGGAUUUUAUAGUUUACUUUAGUUUGUUUUACUUGCUUUGCCUAUGCUUUUUGCUAUAGUGAUUUUGUUUUUACUUUGGUUGAUACCAUAUAUGACGAUUAAGGCUCCAUUUGUUUGCCGAAAUAACUUAUAUUGAAAAAUGUUUUCCAUGAAAAAUAUUUUCCAACAAAAUAACUUAUUUUUCAUUGUUUAAAUUUAAUUUAAAAAUAAAAUAUAUUAACAAAAUUUUAUACACAGG
rnacentral:lncRNA from 1 species